rnacentral:rRNA from 1 species
CCUACGGGAGGCAGCAGUGGGGGAUAUUGCACAAUGGGGGAAACCCUGAUGCAGCGACGCCGCGUGGGUGAAGAAGCGCCUCGGCGCGUAAAGCUCUGUCAGCAGGGAAGAAAAUGACGGUACCUGCAGAAGAAGACGCGGCUAACUACGUGCCAGCAGCCGCGGUAAUACGUAGGGGGCAAGCGUUAUCCGGAUUUACUGGGUGUAAAGGGGGCGCAGACGGCGAUGCAAGCCAGGAGUGAAAGCACGGGGCCCAACCCCGGGACUGCUCUUGAAACUGCGUGGCGAGAGUGCAGGAGGGGUAGGCGGAAUGCCUGGUGUAGCGGUGAAAUGCGUAGAUAUCAGGAGGAACACCAGUGGCGAAGGCGGCCUGCUGGACUGCAACUGACGUUGAGGCCCGAAAGCGUGGGGAGCAAACAGGAUUAGAUACCCGUGUAGUC